GGGAGUUUGGCCGAGUGGUUAAGGCGGCACGUUUAGGAUCCUCAAGGUCUCUUGGGUUUACUCACCCGUGCUGGGAAACCGCGCAGGUUCGAAUCCUGCAGCUCUCA